UACGUAGGGGGCUAGCGUUGUCCGGAAUCAUUGGGCGUAAAGAGCGUGUAGGCGGUCCGGUAAGUCCGCUGUGAAAGUCGGGGGCUCAACCCUCGAAUGCCGGUGGAUACUGUCGGGCUAGAGUGCGGAAGAGGCGAGUGGAAUUCCUGGUGUAGCGGUGAAAUGCGUAGAUAUCAAGAGGAACACCUGAGGUGAAGACGGGUUGCUGGGCUGACACUGACGCUGAGGCGCGAAAGCUAGGGGAGCAAACGGG
rnacentral:rRNA from 1 species